GAGCAGCUAAUACCGCAUACGACCUGAGGGUGAAAGGGGGGGAUUGUAAGACCUCUCGCUAUUGGAGCGGCCGAUAUCAGAUUAGCUAGUUGGUGGGGUAAAGGCCUACCAAGGCAACGAUCUGUAGUUGGUCUGAGAGGACGACCAGCCACACUGGGACUGAGACACGGCCCAGACUCCUACGGGAGGCAGCAGUGGGGAAUUUUGGACAAUGGGCGCAAGCCUGAUCCAGCAAUGCCGCGUGCAGGAAGAAGGCCUUCGGGUUGUAAACUGCUUUUGUCAGGGAAGAAAUCCUCUAGGUUAAUACCCUUGGGGGGAUGACGGUACCUGAAGAAUAAGCACCGGCUAACUACGUGCCAGCAGCCGCGGUAAUACGUAGGGUGCAAGCGUUAAUCGGAAUUACUGGGCGUAAAGCGUGCGCAGGCGGCUUUUGCAAGACAGAUGUGAAAUCCCCGGGCUCAACCUGGGAACUGCAUUUGUGACUGCAAGGCUAGAGUACGGUAGAGGGG
rnacentral:rRNA from 1 species